rnacentral:rRNA from 1 species
GAUGAACGCUGGCGGCGUGCCUAAUACAUGCAAGUCGAGCGAACGGACGAGAAGCUUGCUUCUCUGAUGUUAGCGGCGGACGGGUGAGUAACACGUGGAUAACCUACCUAUAAGACUGGGAUAACUUCGGGAAACCGGAGCUAAUACCGGAUAAUAUUUUGAACCGCAUGGUUCAAAAGUGAAAGACGGUCUUGCUGUCACUUAUAGAUGGAUCCGCGCUGCAUUAGCUAGUUGGUAAGGUAACGGCUUACCAAGGCAACGAUGCAUAGCCGACCUGAGAGGGUGAUCGGACACACUGGAACUGAGACACGGUCCAGACUCCUACGGGAGGCAGCAGUAGGGAAUCUUCCGCAAAGGGCGAAAGCCUGACGGAGCAACGCCGCGUGAGUGAUGAAGGUCUUCGGAUCGUAAAACUCUGUUAUUAGGGAAGAACACAUGUGUAAGUAACUGUGCACAUCUUGACGGUACCUAAUCAGAAAGCCACGGCUAACUACGUG